rnacentral:lncRNA from 10 species
ACCUAAAACCCCUAAGGUGGGCAGAUUCAGAAGUCCAAUUAAGCAGCUCUCCAUGUGAUUCUGAAGCUUGGCUGCAGAAAUAAAGUGAAUUGAUGUAAAACAGAGAGGAAAGCAAGAGAGGAUUGAAUAUAGAAGUGCUCCAGGAUCAAAGCUGAUGUAUCAUGGGACAACUUUUAUAACUUAGUCAUUGGUCAUCUUUCUGUCUUUAUUAAUCCACUGUUUCAAUAUGAACACUGUAGCCAGUGAGACUGCUUCAAAUGAAUGUGAAAUAAAGCUGAACCUCAUCUGCUGAAA